UGAGCUAGAAGACGAGAUUUAAGCCGAAAUUGUGCAUGGAGAGCGCAGCCGAGUUGUGUUUUGUCCCUUUUCCAGAUCACAUGGGGAGCCCACCAAGUUCCACGGGUGCAGAAAUAGGGGGCAAAAAGAACGUGAAUGACACCGAGGCUUUUCAGGGACAUCGCUGCUGGGAACUUCAUUAGGAGCGUCUCAAUAUGCCAUCAGCUCCACGGUCAUCAGGCGACUGAAGAGCUCUAAAUCCUGCCAAGUACUUCUUUGCCAGAUAUUUGAUAAUCAGAUAAAAAAUUGGUGUUGUGUGCAGGAAUGAGGUGUAAAGCCAGAACUGCCUUGGACAACACUUCUGUGCCCUGUGCACAGCUGGAACACAACCAGCACGGAGUGGAGCAGAAGUGGGGCUGUGAAAACGAGUUAGCAAAUCCAGACAGUGCUGCUUUGGCCCAGCAGUGGAAGAGGUCCCUUGGUUGUUGA
rnacentral:lncRNA from 1 species